UCAAGAAAGUAUUAGAUGAUAUUUUAAUUCAUGACAAAACAAUUUCUGUAAAAAAAACACCAUGGAUGCUAUAAACUUUUGAGCUAUGCCUGUACAGAACUGGGAACAUACUAAAAGUGGGGGUUUUCUAUAGAUUACUCUAUAAGAAGCAAUACUGAUGUGAUAAUGAUGGUCCUCUGUGAUAUGAGUUAAGAUUCUGUUCACAUCAGCACGGCAGACGGCAUGACAAGGGGGGAAACAAUUCAGAUCAUUCAGUGGCUCCAAAUGUGCUGUACAGAGAGAAAGGACCCAGAAGGGCUUGUGGAAACCCAGUCUGUGCUUGAGUAGAAGGCCUGCUGCCAGUCAGAACGUCUCAAUUUCAAUGUACAGAAUCGAACCCUCCGCUCAAUGAAACCACCAAAAUUUGGAAAAUCAGAUGAAGAGAGAGGAGGGGCACAGAGAGUGGAAUAAGAUCACACGUAUAACUGGAGAGGCGAACCCUAGGCCUUGAGGAGCGAGUCCAGAGAGACGAUGAAGAAGCAGCAACCCUUAGCUCACCCCCGUGGCCUGCUGAGCUUCAGUGGAGAGGCACCAGGCAAUGGAGCUGUUUGACUUUCCUUCUAUGUUCAUUGUCGUUCUUGGGACACAACACCAUGUGAGAGUGUCCUCCAAUUAGGUUUGAAAGAAGGAGCUCUCUGUCUCAACAGACAAGUUCUGCAAAACUCCCCUGACCUUGCUACCCACCUCACCAACCACUCAGAUCACAAACUGCAUAUCUGGCCUAAUGACUGCUCAAACACACCCCGAUAUCAGAUACUGGAGAUUGAUCACCUGGAGUGGAGGAGACCAUGCUUAUGCCCCCCACUUUAGACCAGAUCCUAAAGCUUUUCAAAUGACCGUUGUCAGUAUUCGGUAGAAUUUUUGUGCUCACCCUGAUAGCUAGAUCUGAGAGGGGCCCCUCCUCCCAGGGUGAUGAUUCAGUCUGAUGAGGGACUUCUGGAGACACUUGACUCCACAAUCAGAAAGCCCAUCCUGGAUUAGCCUCAACACAUAACUGGGCAGGAAUUCAAGAUCCGUUUACUUUAUAGCUUAGAAAAUAAGCAAUUGCUCAAAAUAAAGGAGGAUCAAAUUCA